rnacentral:tRNA from 1 species
CAGAGCAUAGCUAAACAUAGUUAUAGCGCCUCUUUUACACUGAGGAGUCGCCCGUGCAAAUCGGGUUGCCUGA